UCGGGAGUGCCCUGGCAGCUGUGACGUCACACCGCGACACCGUUCGCGUGUACUACGUCAUCAUUCCCAUUACGUCAUCGCGAGAGCGGGGCGGGAAAAACAGUCGCUCAGGCCCCGCCCCUUUUCCCGCCUCCGUGAGGGGCGGUUCCGCCACGCUCAAGAUGGCGCCGUCACCACGGUAACCGCGAGGGGGCGGGGCUUCCGCCACACCAAAAAUGGCGGCGGGGGCGGGACUGGGAGCCCGCUGGGAUGGACUGGGAGGAACUGGGAGGGACUGGGAGGGACUGGGAGCUCCAGCAUUCCCGCCAAAAAAACCUGGAGCCCCCAGACUCAUUUUGUGACUGGGGGGGGGCUCAAAUCCUCUCUCAAAUGGGACCCCAAACCACCGAAUCCUCCUCCAGGACACUUCGGGGGUUUUAUUGUCACACUUGGGGGUUUUAUUGUCACAUUUGGGGGUUUUAUUGUCACACUUGGGGGUUUUAUUGUCACACUUGGGGGUUUUAUUGUCACACCUGGGGGCUGUUUCACCCCAAAACUUCCUCAAUCUUCCUCAAAACCUCCCCAAACGCUGGCGCCUUCACCCCGAACCCCUUGGUGACAACCCCUUCCCUCCUCCUCUCCUCCCCCCACCCGCUCUGGAGCAUUUUGGAGUCCCGGAAGAGCAAAACUGAGGCGAAAAGCGCCAAAUUCGGGUGUUGGAAGAAAAAUCCGUUACGAGAAAUGCGGACAGAGCGCAUGCACAAGAAGGAGGCGGAACCGCGCAUGCGCCGAUACGCUCGGCGCGGCCGCGCACGCGCACUGCGCGCCGUAGCCGUUAAGCGCCACCAUCCGGGGCCUGGCGGGCGCCAUCUUUGUGGCGGGUGGAGGAGACGCGUCCAAAAUGGCGGCUCCCAAGCGCCAGUAGCCGGCGCGGCGGGCGGGCCUUUCUCAGCUUUGUGCGCGGCGGCGGCGGCCCGGAGCGAGCGGCGGCGGCGGCGGAAAGCGGCGCUCGGGGUCGGCGGGCGGCGGGUGGCUGCAGGCGCCGCCAUCUUGCGCUCGCGGCGAGGAGGAGGAAGAGGAGGAGGAGGAGGAGGAAGAUCCGGGCACCGGGCGGCGCCAUCUUGGACCCCCCCUUCCCACAGCAGAGCGCCGCCAUCUUGUGACCCCUCCCCCGCGCAGCCGGGCACCGGCCGCUCCGCCGCCUUGGAGCCUCUGCGGUAGCGGAGCCGCACCCGGUAAGGGCGGAACGAAGCGAGGAGCGGCGGGAGGGAGGGGAGGGAGCGCGGGGGCUCCGUGGGGGCCGACACCGAUCACGGGUUCCGCCGGAUGGGCGGCGCCAUCUUGGGAGGGGACGUGCGGGGUGUCAUGGCGGCGCCGUGCCCCGACAUCCGGGUCCUUCCCCCCCUUCCACCGCCCCCGGGGCGCCAUCCUGGGAGGGGCCGCCGCAUCCGGGUCCCGCGCGCCGCCAUCUUGAGCGUCCGGGGGGGUUUUUGGGGGGGCGAUGGCAGCGCCGGGGGUCCCCGAACCGUUUGAAUCGCUCGGAACCGCGGGGCCGUGAGGCCUCAGAGCGGCCCCGGUGUCCCGUUAACCCCGGGGGGGGCGGUGGGGAAAGCGGGAGAGCCCCGGGGCAGAGGAAGAGGAGGAGGAGGAGGGGGCGCGGUUCGCGGAGGAGGUGGUACCCGAGGAGAGGCGGGGCGCCCAAGAUGGCGGCGCCCAUGGCGGGCUGAGUGCUCCGUACAGCGCUGCGCCGCCGGGAAACGGGCUGUGCCGCCGGCAGCCAGGCCGCGGGGGAUUCGGUGUGUGCGGGGGGACGAGGCCGGGAGUGUCGGGGAGCGGUUACGGGGCCGCGGGGAGGCUCGGAGGGGGCGGCACCGGGAGAUGGCGGCGCUCGGGGUGGGGGGGGCGAGCAGUGGGGAAAAGCGCGUAAAAGGCGGGAUAAGGGGGGCGGCGGCUCCUUUAAGAGGCGGGUGAAGUGGGCGUGGUCACGCCCUUCCGUGACCACGCCCCUCCGCCGUUCGCGCCGGCCCCGCCGCCACCGGGCCCGGUCCGGAGGCCACCGAGAUGACGGUGAAACUCCUCCCGGUCCCCCCCACAAAAUGUCGCCGCCUCCUCCCUUUCCACCCUCCCCACAAUGUCGCCCCCCGUCCGCGGCCAAGAUGGCGCCGCCCGGGUCCGGAGGGGGCGUGUCCGCGCCGGCCCCGCCCACUCCCGUCGCUUCCCG
ensembl:lncRNA alanine and glycine-rich protein-like